CUUCAGGGAGGCCAGCCACAACGGGCGGUCGCGGUCCUUGCCAUAGGUGGCGAGCACGGCGUGGGCCUC
rnacentral:antisense_RNA from 1 species